AGGUGGAGAUUGUGAGUGCUUCUGUACAGCUGUGGCAGCUUAUGCUCAAGCCUGCAAUGAGGCAGAUGUUUGUGUGAACUGGAGAACACCUGAGAUCUGCCCUGUGUACUGUGACUUCUACAAUAAUGGAACAGAAGAGUGCAUAUGGCAUUACAAUCCUUGUCAUACACCUUUCUACAAAACCUGUCUCAACCUUAAUGGUACUCACAGUAAUAACAGUUUACCCCUUCUGGAAGGAUGUUAUCCAAAAUGUCCAGAGGAU